GCCGAAGUGGUGGAAUUGGUAUACACGCGCGACUCAAAAUCGCGUUCCGCAAGGAUUGAGGGUUCGAGUCCCUCCUUCGGCACCA
rnacentral:tRNA from 1 species